UGCUCAGGACGAACGCUGGCGGCGUGCUUAACACAUGCAAGUCGAACGAUGAAGCCCUUCGGGGUGGAUUAGUGGCGAACGGGUGAGUAACACGUGGGCAAUCUGCCCUUCACUCUGGGACAAGCCCUGGAAACGGGGUCUAAUACCGGAUAACACCGGCUUCCGCAUGGGAGCUGGUUGAAAGCUCCGGCGGUGAAGGAUGAGCCCGCGGCCUAUCAGCUUGUUGGUGGGGUAAUGGCCUACCAAGGCGACGACGGGUAGCCGGCCUGAGAGGGCGACCGGCCACACUGGGACUGAGACACGGCCCAGACUCCUACGGGAGGCAGCAGUGGGGAAUAUUGCACAAUGGGCGAAAGCCUGAUGCAGCGACGCCGCGUGAGGGAUGACGGCCUUCGGGUUGUAAACCUCUUUCAGCAGGGAAGAAGCGAAAGUGACGGUACCUGCAGAAGAAGCGCCGGCUAACUACGUGCCAGCAGCCGCGGUAAUACGUAGGGCGCAAGCGUUGUCCGGAAUUAUUGGGCGUAAAGAGCUCGUAGGCGGCUUGUCACGUCGGGUGUGAAAGCCCGGGGCUUAACCCCGGGUCUGCAUCCGAUACGGGCAGGCUAGAGUGUGGUAGGGGAGAUCGGAAUUCCUGGUGUAGCGGUGAAAUGCGCAGAUAUCAGGAGGAACCACCCGGUGGCGAAGGCGGAUCUUCUGGGCCAUUACUACGCUAGAGCAAAGCG
rnacentral:rRNA from 1 species